UACGUAGGGGGCAAGCGUUAUCCGGAUUUACUGGGUGUAAAGGGAGCGUAGACGGCACAGCAAGUCUGAUGUGAAAGGCAGGGGCUUAACCCCUGGACUGCAUUGGAAACUGCUGUGCUUGAGUGCCGGAGAGGUAAGUGGGAUUCCUAGUGUAGCGGUGAAAUGCGUAGAUAUUAGGAGGAACACCAGUGGCGAAGGCGGCUUACUGGACAGUAACUGACGUUGAGGCUCGAAAGCGUGGGGAGCAAACA
rnacentral:rRNA from 1 species